GAUGAACGCUGGCGGCGUGCUUAACACAUGCAAGUCGAACGAAGCGCUUGAAUGGAAUUCUUCGGAAGGAAGCUCAAGUGACUGAGUGGCGGACGGGUGAGUAACGCGUGGGUAACCUGCCUCAUACAGGGGGAUAACAGUUAGAAAUGACUGCUAAUACCGCAUAAGCACACGUGAUCGCAUGAUCGAGUGUCGAAAAACUCCGGUGGUAUGAGAUGGACCCGCGUCUGAUUAGCUAGUUGGUGGGGUAACGGCCCACCAAGGCGACGAUCAGUAGCCGGCCUGAGAGGGUGAACGGCCACAUUGGGACUGAGACACGGCCCAA
rnacentral:rRNA from 1 species